GAAGAAUCAAUAAACUAAAUGUGUCAGGUGAUCCUCCUAUAUGCGAUAGCUGCUCUAAUUUCUUGCAUGAAACAGUUGAUAAUCUUGCAGGUAUAUCAAUGACAGUACAGCCUCAGCCAGUGGAAACCAAUGU